rnacentral:lncRNA from 1 species
AUGUAAUAGUUUUACAUAAUUCAGUAAUUUUAUUGAUUGCAAUUUAAGGGACCUGCCUGCCAACCCAGGCCGAAAUUCCAGAGAAUUGAAUUUGCUAGCACUGUAUUUUACCCUGUAACGUUCUACGACACCCUAAAACCUGUACAUGGGGGGUACUGUUUUGCUCGGGAGACUUCGCUGAACACAAAUAUUAGUGAUUCAAAACAGUAAAA